rnacentral:rRNA from 1 species
GACGAACGCUGGCGGUGUGCUUCACACAUGCAAGUCGAACGAGGUAGCAAUACCUAGUGGCGGACGGGUGAGUAACGCGUGGGAAUCUGCCCAUAGGUGGGGGAUAACUAGCCGAAAGGUUAGCUAGUACCGCAUAUGCCGAAAGGUAAAAGGAGUAAUCCGCCUUUGGAUGAGCCCGCGUCCGAUUAGCUAGUUGGUAGAGUAAAAGCCUACCAAGGCGACGAUCGGUAGCUGGUCUGAGAGGAUGAUCAGCCACAAUGGGACUGAGACACGGCCCAUACUCCUACGGGAGGCAGCAGUGGGGAAUUUUACGCAAUGGGGAAACCCUGACGUAGCGACACCGCGUGAAUGAAGAAGCCCUUUGGGGUGUAAAAUUCUGUCGGCUGGGAAGAAAAAAAUGACGGUACCAGCAAAGGAAGCAUCGGCUAACUACGUGCCAGCAGCCGCGGUAAU